UACAGAGGGUGCGAGCGUUAAUCGGAAUUACUGGGCGUAAAGCGCACGUAGGCGGCUUUGCAAGUCGGGUGUGAAAUCCCCGGGCUCAACCUGGGAACUGCAUCCGAGACUGCUUUGCUCGAGUAUGGGAGAGGGAAGUGGAAUUUCCGGUGUAGCGGUGAAAUGCGUAGAUAUCGGGAGGAACACCAGUGGCGAAGGCGACUUCCUGGCCUGUUCUUGACGCUGAGGCGCGAAAGCUAGGGGAGCAAACGGG
rnacentral:rRNA from 1 species